rnacentral:rRNA from 1 species
GAUGAACGCUGGCGGCGUGCCUAAUACAUGCAAGUCGAGCGAACGGACGAGAAGCUUGCUUCUCUGAUGUUAGCGGCGGACGGGUGAGUAACACGUGGAUAACCUACCUAUAAGACUGGGAUAACUUCGGGAAACCGGAGCUAAUACCGGAUAAUAUUUUGAACCGCAUGGUUCAAAAGUGAAAGACGGUCUUGCUGUCACUUAUAGAUGGAUCCGCGCUGCAUUAGCUAGUUGGUAAGGUAACGGCUUACCAAGGCAACGAUGCAUAGCCGACCUGAGAGGGUGAUCGGCCACACUGGAACUGAGACACGGUCCAGACUCCUACGGGAGGCAGCAGUAGGGAAUCCUCCGCAAUGGGCGAAAGCCUGACGGAGCAACGCCGCGUGAGUGAUGAAGGUCUGCGGAUCGUAAAACUCUGUUAUUAGGGAAGAACAUAUGUGUAAGUAACUGUGCACAUCUUGACGGUACCUAAUCAGAAAGCCACGGCUAACUACGUG